GGCGUUCGGGUUCGGGCGGGGGGUGGUUUGUGACAGCAGACAGAAUGUUUAGUUUAGAACCAGCGAUUUUUAUAGGGAUAUGAAUUGUGAAACUUAAUUAAAAUGAUUUAUCUUAUUAAGUUAACAUUUUAUUACUUUUCUUAAACAGGAAUUCAGUUAAUUGUGGGUAGUAAUUUCAUAGGGCAAUGCAGAACAGGAACAUAUCGCCUUAACAAAUAGUUUUUCACGACGACUUUAUGUAUUAUACAUGCAGAAGGUGUAACGGAACGAGGAUUAAAGGUUAAUAAAUAUAUGAAUAUUCGAGUUAUUGCAAAAAGAUAUCUCAGAAGCACAGAAACAAAAUAUCAAGCAUCAGGAAAAGUUGGAGAACGGUGUGUUCAUCUUAAGGAAGGGACAACAUAAUCAUAAACACUUGAAGGACCAAAUACAAGACAGGAGUUACGAACAUGUGUAAGAAAGGAGACAAAAAGAAUAUAGUCAAAUUUAGUCAACAAGAAAUGCUGAAGGUGCCUUACUUGCUUCAACUCAGUAUGUACCUCUAGGCAGAGGUGGAAGCAAUCGAAUGUACCUGUACAACUGAAAGACUUGACUAGAAUUCUGGGAGCAAGCGAGCGACCUAGAUAUUAGUUUGGUUAUACAGUUUGGCAAAAAAGCUUGGCAUGAGCCAUUUUUGUCACAAGGUCCUGUACGAAAGGAUAUUAACCAAUAUGUUGGACCUACCAUUCAUCAAAUAUAGGCAUAAAUUUUUAUUUUUUUCUGUGGUUAGUAAGUUUUUUAUAUUUUUUCGGUAGGUAACCUUUGUGUUAGUUAAUAAGGACCACCAACAAAUAUUAAAUAACAAUCUAUGUAUCCAAGUGGCAAUAGGUAUAUGACCUUUCUUGGUAAUUUUUGAAGUCUUAAAUAAAUAUGUUUGAUGUUUAUUAAAAAAAUUACUGGCAUCUCCUAAUAAGGUGUAUAAAGAUAGAAGUUGCCUUUGUCCUAAAAAUAAAAAAUAUUAUAGGUUUUUACUUAGACAAGGCACUGUGGAUUGCAUGUCAAACUCUCAAACUCAAGGAAAUGUGGAUGGAAAAAAAUUAUGGCGGAAGUACUAUGUUUCGGAAAUAAUUAUUAAAAUGCCUGUUCUUUAAAUUUUUGUUUCAUUUCAACCAUUUUCACAGUUUUACAUCAUAAAAGAGAACAAUCAGUGCAAAUAUUUUCUGCUACACCAAUUCAAUAACAAAAGAUUUGAUGGGGCCACUAGGGACAUUUCUGGGCCGUAAGUCCAGAAACCAGGUCCACAAUGCUGUAGACUUAAAGUACUUUUGUAUCACCAUAAGUACAUUUUUAUGUGAUUCGAAUGUGGCUAUAGGAAAUCUUAUUUGGAAAGUAGGUUAGGGGUAGGGGCCCAUAAAUGUGUUAUCCCAAGGCUCACUCGCAACUGGCUAGAACAAAUUGCACAGUGAAUUCAAUCAGCUUAUAAUCAGUUUUAUCCCCGUCAUCAGCUGUAAACCCUACCUAUUUUGCAAAAAAAAAUUUGUUGUGGACAUUGUCAUUCAUAAAUUUUUUAUAAAUUUGAUUUGAUAGACGUCAACUUUUACCUUAGCCGGUGACUGUAAUAAAUAGGGGGCGAUAAUGGCAACAAAAUAUUCAAAAGAUACUCACGGGUUAGUUUCGAUAACAUUAACCUAUUUUUUUUGGAAAUAAUGCAUAGGAAUUCAUGUGUCCUGUGCGGAUUUAGCAACCGAUGUACGUCCUGUAUCUUUAAAACAAGCACCGUUUUCCUAAUUC